rnacentral:tRNA from 1 species
AGCCCCGUAGUACAGUGGCCAAGUAUGUCGGGCUUUGGACCCGAAGACCUCGGUUCGAAUCCGGGCGGGGCUA